AGAACGAACGCUGGCGGCAGGCUUAACACAUGCAAGUCGAACGCUCGUAGCGAUACGAGAGUGGCAGACGGGUGAGUAACACGUGGGAACGUUCCCCUCGGUUCGGAAUAACUCAGGGAAACUUGAGCUAAUACCGGAUACGUCCGCGAGGAGAAAGAUUCAUCGCCGAGGGAUCGGCCCGCGUCUGAUUAGCUAGUUGGUGAGGUAACGGCUCACCAAGGCGACGAUCAGUAGCUGGUCUGAGAGGAUGACCAGCCACACUGGGACUGAGACACGGCCCAGACUCCUACGGGAGGCAGCAGUGGGGAAUCUUGGACAAUGGGCGCAAGCCUGAUCCAGCCAUGCCGCGUGAGUGAUGAAGGCCCUAGGGUUGUAAAGCUCUUUCGGCGGGGACGAUAAUGACGGUACCCGCAGAAGAAGCCCCGGCUAACUUCGUGCCAGCAGCCGC
rnacentral:rRNA from 1 species